CUACGGGGGGCAGCAGUGGGGAAUAUUGGACAAUGGGGGCAACCCUGAUCCAGCCAUGCCGCGUGUGUGAAGAAGGCCCUCGGGUUGUAAAGCACUUUCAGUGAGGAAGAACGCCUGGUGGUUAAUACCCAUCAGGAAAGACAUCACUCACAGAAGAAGCACCGGCUAACUCCGUGCCAGCAGCCGCGGUAAUACGGAGGGUGCGAGCGUUAAUCGGAAUUACUGGGCGUAAAGCGCGCGUAGGUGGCUUGAUAAGCCGGUUGUGAAAGCCCCGGGCUCAACCUGGGAACGGCAUCCGGAACUGUCAAGCUAGAGUGCAGGAGAGGAAGGUAGAAUUCCCGGUGUAGCGGUGAAAUGCGUAGAGAUCGGGAGGAAUACCAGUGGCGAAGGCGGCCUUCUGGACUGACACUGACACUGAGGUGCGAAAGCGUGGGUAGCAAACAGGAUUAGAUACCCUGGUAGUC
rnacentral:rRNA from 1 species